rnacentral:rRNA from 1 species
UUAAGCGACUAAGCGUACACGGUGGAUGCCCUGGCAGUCAGAGGCGAUGAAGGACGUGCUAAUCUGCGAUAAGCGUCGGUAAGGUGAUAUGAACCGUUAUAACCGGCGAUUUCCGAAUGGGGAAACCCAGUGUGUUUCGACACACUAUCAUUAACUGAAUCCAUAGGUUAAUGAGGCGAACCGGGGGAACUGAAACAUCUAAGUACCCCGAGGAAAAGAAAUCAACCGAGAUUCCCCCAGUAGCGGCGAGCGAACGGGGAGCAGCCCAGAGCCUGAAUCAGUGUGUGUGUUAGUGGAAGCGUCUGGAAAGGCGCGCGAUACAGGGUGACAGCCCCGUACACAAAAAUGCACAUACUGUGAGCUCGAUGAGUAGGGCGGGACACGUGGUAUCCUGUCUGAAUAUGGGGGGACCAUCCUCCAAGGCUAAAUACUCCUGACUGACCGAUAGUGAACCAGUACCGUGAGGGAAAGGCGAAAAGAACCCCGGCGAGGGGAGUGAAAAAGAACCUGAAACCGUGUACGUACAAGCAGUGGGAGCACGCUUAGGCGUGUGACUGCGUACCUUUUGUAUAAUGGGUCAGCGACUUAUAUUCUGUAGCAAGGUUAACCGAAUAGGGGAGCCGAAGGGAAACCGAGUCUUAACUGGGCGUUAAGUUGCAGGGUAUAGACCCGAAACCCGGUGAUCUAGCCAUGGGCAGGUUGAAGGUUGGGUAACACUAACUGGAGGACCGAACCGACUAAUGUUGAAAAAUUAGCGGAUGACUUGUGGCUGGGGGUGAAAGGCCAAUCAAACCGGGAGAUAGCUGGUUCUCCCCGAAAGCUAUUUAGGUAGCGCCUCGUGAAUUCAUCUCCGGGGGUAGAGCACUGUUUCGGCAAGGGGGUCAUCCCGACUUACCAACCCGAUGCAAACUGCGAAUACCGGAGAAUGUUAUCACGGGAGACACACGGCGGGUGCUAACGUCCGUCGUGAAGAGGGAAACAACCCAGACCGCCAGCUAAGGUCCCAAAGUCAUGGUUAAGUGGGAAACGAUGUGGGAAGGCCCAGACAGCCAGGAUGUUGGCUUAGAAGCAGCCAUCAUUUAAAGAAAGCGUAAUAGCUCACUGGUCGAGUCGGCCUGCGCGGAAGAUGUAACGGGGCUAAACCAUGCACCGAAGCUGCGGCAGCGACGCUUAUGCGUUGUUGGGUAGGGGAGCGUUCUGUAAGCCUGUGAAGGUGUACUGUGAGGUAUGCUGGAGGUAUCAGAAGUGCGAAUGCUGACAUAAGUAACGAUAAAGCGGGUGAAAAGCCCGCUCGCCGGAAGACCAAGGGUUCCUGUCCAACGUUAAUCGGGGCAGGGUGAGUCGACCCCUAAGGCGAGGCCGAAAGGCGUAGUCGAUGGGAAACAGGUUAAUAUUCCUGUACUUGGUGUUACUGCGAAGGGGGGACGGAGAAGGCUAUGUUGGCCGGGCGACGGUUGUCCCGGUUUAAGCGUGUAGGCUGGUUUUCCAGGCAAAUCCGGAAAAUCAAGGCUGAGGCGUGAUGACGAGGCACUACGGUGCUGAAGCAACAAAUGCCCUGCUUCCAGGAAAAGCCUCUAAGCAUCAGGUAACAUCAAAUCGUACCCCAAACCGACACAGGUGGUCAGGUAGAGAAUACCAAGGCGCUUGAGAGAACUCGGGUGAAGGAACUAGGCAAAAUGGUGCCGUAACUUCGGGAGAAGGCACGCUGAUAUGUAGGUGAAGUCCCUCGCGGAUGGAGCUGAAAUCAGUCGAAGAUACCAGCUGGCUGCAACUGUUUAUUAAAAACACAGCACUGUGCAAACACGAAAGUGGACGUAUACGGUGUGACGCCUGCCCGGUGCCGGAAGGUUAAUUGAUGGGGUUAGCGCAAGCGAAGCUCUUGAUCGAAGCCCCGGUAAACGGCGGCCGUAACUAUAACGGUCCUAAGGUAGCGAAAUUCCUUGUCGGGUAAGUUCCGACCUGCACGAAUGGCGUAAUGAUGGCCAGGCUGUCUCCACCCGAGACUCAGUGAAAUUGAACUCGCUGUGAAGAUGCAGUGUACCCGCGGCAAGACGGAAAGACCCCGUGAACCUUUACUAUAGCUUGACACUGAACAUUGAGCCUUGAUGUGUAGGAUAGGUGGGAGGCUUUGAAGUGUGGACGCCAGUCUGCAUGGAGCCGACCUUGAAAUACCACCCUUUAAUGUUUGAUGUUCUAACGUGGACCCGUAAUCCGGGUUGCGGACAGUGUCUGGUGGGUAGUUUGACUGGGGCGGUCUCCUCCUAAAGAGUAACGGAGGAGCACGAAGGUUGGCUAAUCCUGGUCGGACAUCAGGAGGUUAGUGCAAUGGCAUAAGCCAGCUUGACUGCGAGCGUGACGGCGCGAGCAGGUGCGAAAGCAGGUCAUAGUGAUCCGGUGGUUCUGAAUGGAAGGGCCAUCGCUCAACGGAUAAAAGGUACUCCGGGGAUAACAGGCUGAUACCGCCCAAGAGUUCAUAUCGACGGCGGUGUUUGGCACCUCGAUGUCGGCUCAUCACAUCCUGGGGCUGAAGUAGGUCCCAAGGGUAUGGCUGUUCGCCAUUUAAAGUGGUACGCGAGCUGGGUUUAGAACGUCGUGAGACAGUUCGGUCCCUAUCUGCCGUGGGCGCUGGAGAAUUGAGGGGGGCUGCUCCUAGUACGAGAGGACCGGAGUGGACGCAUCACUGGUGUUCGGGUUGUCAUGCCAAUGGCACUGCCCGGUAGCUAAAUGCGGAAGAGAUAAGUGCUGAAAGCAUCUAAGCACGAAACUUGCCCCGAGAUGAGUUCUCCCUGACUCCUUGAGAGUCCUGAAGGAACGUUGAAGACGACGACGUUGAUAGGCCGGGUGUGUAAGCGCAGCGAUGCGUUGAGCUAACCGGUACUAAUGAACCGUGAGGCUUAACCUU